rnacentral:rRNA from 1 species
GAUGAACGCUGGCGGCGUGCCUAAUACAUGCAAGUCGAGCGAACGGACGAGAAGCUUGCUUCUCUGAUGUUAGCGGCGGACGGGUGAGUAACACGUGGAUAACCUACCUAUAAGACUGGGAUAACUUCGGGAAACCGGAGCUAAUACCGGAUGAUAUUUUGAACCGCAUGGUUCAAAAGUGAAAGACGGUCUUGCUGUCACUUAUAGAUGGAUCCGCGCUGCAUUAGCUAGUUGGUAAGGUAACGGCUUACCAAGGCAACGAUGCAUAGCCGACCUGAGAGGGUGAUCGGCCACACUGGAACUGAGACGCGGUCCAGACUCCUACGGGAGGCAGCAGUAGGGAAUCUUCCGCAAUGGGCGAAAGCCUGACGGAGCAACGCCGCGUGAGUGAUGAAGGUCUUCGGAUCGUAAAACUCUGUUAUUAGGGAAGAACAUAUGUGUAAGUAACUGUGCACAUCUUGACGGUACCUAAUCAGAAGGCCACGGCUAACUACGUG